rnacentral:rRNA from 1 species
CGCGUAGGCGGGCGAUCAAGUCAGGGGUGAAAUCUUUCGGCUUAACCGGAAAACAGCCUUUGAUACUGAUCGUCUGGAGGGAGGUAGGGGCCUGUGGAACUUCUGGUGGAGCGGUGAAAUGCGUAGAUAUCAGAAGGAACGCCGGUGGCGAAAGCGACGGGCUGGACCUCAUCUGACGCUGAGGCGCGAAAGCUAGGGGAGCGAACG